CAAAACUCCCCAAACCCGAACGCCCCGAGUUUCAGUAGCCGUAUUCUCCAAACCCUCUUCCACCAUUGCCAUCCCGGCCCUCUCGUUUUCUCUGCAGAGCAAUAUCGUCUUAUGAUUUUACUAAUUUAGAUAAAUUAUGAAUAUGUAAGUUCGCUGAGCCGCGGCACCGCUAACAGAUCAAAGAAUACCUGUUGCCAAUCCACCAGUAUAGGUCCCGCCUAACUCCUGGAAGGCUCCUUCUCCUGUACCCAACAGAUUUGAUUUAGGGUUUGUCAGACAGACGGCGGCAGGAGAAGAGGGGCAUCGCCGACAUAAGGGACAUAAAAUGCGAAAUGAAAUAUGGUAAGAGAGAAUGCAUGGCAGUAAGUGUAUGAUAGGAAAAGCAUGGACAUCUAAUUGGAAAACCGAGCGAAUGUACAAUUAUAACCGACACGUGUCAAUUCCAAGCUUUGAAUUUACUGUCUACUUUAUCUGAAUUAUUGAAAUAGUAAUGUUUAUAAGCAACCUCCAUUUAAGCCAUAUUUUACAAAUUGUAUUUUAUUAAUCAUAUGACUUUAUCUGAAUCAUAUGAUUUUAUCCGAAUCAUAUGAUUUUAUCGUCGAUGAUUGAAUUAUUAUUUAAUUGUUAAUUAAUAUGUUUAUUUUCUAUUAAUGACACAUCACAAAAUUUACAAAUACGGUCUAAAGAAUUAAUCUAUUGCCAUGCCGCAUGGAACACAAAUAUAACACAAAAUGGCACUCCCCCGGAUAUGUCUUCCAAUAACUCGACUUCAUUUACUAAUUUUAAGGAAGUGCGCUCUCCAUCUUGGUCAACUUCUUAACUAGGAAAACUAAGGAAGCCUGAAAAUAGAGAAUACAAAAUUAAUUAGCAAGUUCACUGAAAAUGUUGUAGCAUCCUGGCCGUACAGUUAUACCAACAUCAUGAAUUUGCGAUCUCGUACGAAACCAUGCAAGUGAUUUUAUGUGCCGUAUGCUGUAGUAUUGAGAGAGUGGAAUCCCAUAUUUUCGGUUGAAUAACGGCCGGUGAUCGUCACUGUAACAAUCUAUUAGUUGACAACUUAACAUGAAAUCAUGCUAGUGAUUCACAUUACAUAAAAUAAAUAUGCACAGGUAGUGCAAGUAAGGGAGAAUUUAUCGCAUGAUCAAUGUUAGACACUAAUCCAAUAGCUAGGUUAGACGAUUCAGAUAAUAUUUGUAGAAAAGUU